rnacentral:rRNA from 1 species
UUGGUGUGAAUUGCAGAAUCCCGUGAACCAUCGAGUCUUUGAACGCAAGUUGCGCCCGAAGCCAUCAGGCCGAGGGCACGUCUKCCUGGGCGUCACGC